GGCACACUUAUUCCUGGGUUGGUCUAAUUGUUCGGUAUUUUCACUCGCAUAGUAACUGGAGUGAUUUUACCGAACAAUCAGACGAAUGCUGCAUACAUACAUACGGCAAAAUUUAACCGAAAGCAUAUGAACACACAUGAUUUUGAGGACAGCCCAAUGCCAUCCGCUACAAACAUCUCAUCCUCGGAGGAGGUAAGGCUGAGGUCUGGCUGCAC